GCCUACGGGGCGCAGCAGUGGGGAAUUUUGGACAAUGGGCGAAAGCCUGAUCCAGCCAUGCCGCGUGAGUGAAGAAGGCCUUCGGGUUGUAAAGCUCUUUCGGCUGGGACGAAAAGGUCCGUGCUAACACCACGGAUCCAUGACGGUACCAGCAGAAGAAGCACCGGCUAACUACGUGCCAGCAGCCGCGGUAAUACGUAGGGUGCAGGCGUUAAUCGGAAUUACUGGGCGUAAAGCGUGCGCAGGCGGUUUGCUAAGACAGGUGUGAAAUCCCCGGGCUUAACCUGGGAACUGCGCUUGUAACUGGCAAGCUGGAGUGUGGCAGAGGGGGGUGGAAUUCCACGUGUAGCAGUGAAAUGCGUAGAGAUGUGGAGGAACACCGAUGGCGAAGGCAGCCCCCUGGGCUAACACUGACGCUCAUGCACGAAAGCGUGGGGAGCAAACAGGAUUAGAUACCCUGGU
rnacentral:rRNA from 1 species